ACCAUUCAACGCCUCCUCGUUCCUUAACCACCCUCUCCUUCUCCUCCAGAUCUAGUCUCGAUGGAUUGUUCUCUGAGCAAAUCGUCUUCAAAUUCGAUGACAUCGUUUCGAGAUCUACGUGUUGAUGGUGGUUUUGGGCUCUGAAGCUUUUGUAAUCAUCUCAACGCUUUUUCAGCUGGUGUUCUUCAUGAUUCUAUAUAGAUUCUCAGCUAUGGCGAAGGAGCUAACCUCAGAUCCAGAUGGAUCCCACGUCUUGGAGCUUUCGUUGAGGAGGCGAUGUCGUUUUCAAUUCAGAUCUGAUAUUUCCGGUGGCUAAAGGAGGCUGGAGUUCAUGGAAAUCGGUUAUUCGGUGUGUAUAAUUGUAAAUUCUUGAAUUGGAAGAUAUCUGAAGAUAGCGAGGAGCUUUAGGUGUGAUUGUUGAUAUGGAUGUAUAAGAUAUCGGCUAGGAUUGGCUCAGUUGAUGGGUCUGAGUCCUGGACCGAUCUUUGUCAUCCGGCCUUUGCCAUGGCAGGUGCGCUUGCAUGGCAGGUCAAAAAAAUUAAUAAAAAAGAGGGUUUUGGUGGUUCGGAGGGGAAGACAGCAUGGGAGUUUUUUUCUUUGUGCCCAGGGUCUUCUCCUCCGGUGUGUGCUCUGUGUCCUGCUUUCUUUAUUCUGCUUUAUAUUUGCCUGCCUGCAAAUCACACUCGGAUUCUGGUCAUCAGCAACAGCAAUACUCAGUCACCAACGAAGGUAUUAUGCACCUAAUUCUAUACUCUAUGCAUAUCUGCCCGGUUACAGGUUCAUAGUAAUGCUCAAUUGAUCCUUUGAUACUCCAUAUGUGAACGGUUGCAUAGCGAGUACUUCGUAUAAUAAUGCUAGUUUAAUCUCGUUCACAAGGUAGUUCAUAUUUUGCUGGUUAUACAAAUUCAACUAUGCUUAGUGCUGAUCUACCUGGUUAUACAAGUCCAACUAGUCAUGGCUCUUAAUAAGUUUAAUUAGUCAUAUUGUUCUUAUCAUGCAAGUUCAACUAGUCCUGGUGCUUAUUAUACAGUUCAACUAGUCAUGUUAAAGACAUUGAAUUCAGUAUUUUUGGCAUACAUUAUAUAUAUAUGUGAACUUAGAAAAUUCC